CAAGUGCCUGUGAUGGUUAUAAAUAUACUUUGAGUAAUUACUAUGAAAAGACAUCAAACUGAGGCACACU